rnacentral:rRNA from 1 species
CAGCAGCCGCGGUAAUACGAAGGGUGCAAGCGUUAAUCGGAAUUACCGGGCGUAAAGCGUGCGUAGGCGGUGAGUUAAGUCUGCUGUGAAAUCCCCGGGCUCAACCUGGGAAUGGCAGUGGAUACUGGCUCGCUAGAGUGUGUCAGAGGAUGGUGGAAUUCCCGGUGUAGCGGUGAAAUGCGUAGAGAUCGGGAGGAACAUCAGUGGCGAAGGCGGCCAUCUGGGACAACACUGACGCUGAGGCACGAAAGCGUGGGGAGCAAACAGGAUUAGAUACCCGCGUAGUCCCUGUCUCUUAUAC